AGUGAGCAUCUCUUUUACCUCAAAAGUUGCAAAACGACACGUUGAGGCGUUGAAUAUGAAAGUUUCCCAUAUUCAAAUGAUGUUGUCACGGCAAACGAUGAGAAUAAUGGUUAAAUUGGAUGGUACUUUAAAAUUAACUUUCCAAACUCCCGACGAGAAUGAUUCUGAGCCGCGGAAAUUAAACAAAAAACUGAGUUAUAUGAAAGUGAAAAAAGGCCCAAUUGCUGAGAAAACAAAAGUAUUUUAUUGGAAACCGCCGGGUUUUACGUUUCGAACAGUACAUGUUUGCUCUAUUUUCAUGGAAGAUCUUAAGUUUCAUAGAGACAUAUUGAUGAAGUAUUCGCGCCAAUUUAAUAAGCUUACUCUAGACUAUCAUUCAUUGAAAUCUCAAGAGUUUCACUCAAUUCUCAGUCUUAACUACGAUAGAUUUUGCCUGGAAAAAGCUACCAAACUAGAAGAUUUAUUGGUUUCAAAUAUUUCCGAAAUGCACAUUGAUUAUCCAUCACCCUUAAAACAGGUAUGUCUAUUCCUGAAGCAUUGGAUUAAUGGAUCAAACAAACGAUUGGAAUAUCUUGAAAUAAAACUUCCCGCCAGAUCAACUGAAACCCAAUUUAUUUCGAUUGCCUUGAAUGGUAUUAAAUAUCAAUUGGCACCAAUUGACAAAAAGUGGGAGUUUCUCAAUAAUAGGUUUAUAAAAACCACUGUCGUUAAAGCUGGAGGAUAUGAUAUCAGACAAAACGAUGGAACCAUUGCAACUGUCACUUUUUAUGAAGCCUUUCCAUAUUUGCGUAUGUUCGUGUGGAAAUGAUAAAUUACUCAAAAAAUAAGUGUGUACUUCUUUAAUGAUUGUUUUGAAUAAAGUACUGUUUUUAAACUCGAGGUUUGAUUUUAAGUGCUUACAAUAUUGAUAUUGAUACAGUUACUGCGGAUUUAGUGGAUUGUUGAGAAGAAGAGAGAGCCGUCAUUAUUUGAAAAGUGGAUUUCUGCUAUAUCUGUGUUAGACGUCAUCGAUUCGGUUGGGCUCAAUAUUGAAAAUUGGUUAGAACCAAGUAGACACUACGACUUAAUGAUCGAUGCACCAUGUUUCAAGUGAGAACGGGUAGUUGAUUAUCUAGUGGAGCGUUCAUUGCGCAGCUGGAAUGCGGUGUCUAAUCGAUCGAUGAUCAAACGUCUGUUGGCCAACCAAACCUCCCAUUCCAGUCAUUCAUUCUCUUUACAACCAUGACGAACGGUUUCCCAAUUCUUCGAUUACCUUCAAAACCUCUACGUUCUAUACUUCAAACGAUGAAAUUUGUAGAAUUG
rnacentral:sRNA from 1 species